rnacentral:rRNA from 1 species
GAUGAACGCUAGCGGCAGGCCUAAUACAUGCAAGUCGAACGAGAUUGAGGAGCUUGCUCUUCAUGAAAGUGGCGCACGGGUGCGUAACGCGUAUGCAACCUACCUUAAUCAGGGGGAUAGCCUCUCGAAAGAGAGAUUAACAACGCAUAACAUUAUUAUAUGGCAUCAUAUGAUAAUCAAAUAUUUAUAGGAUUAAGAUGGGCAUGCGUGACAUUAGUUAGUUGGCGGGGUAUCGGCCCACCAAGACGAUGAUGUCUAGGGGAUCUGAGAGGAUGACCCCCCACACUGGUACUGAGACACGGACCAGACUCCUACGGGAGGCAGCAGUAAGGAAUAUUGGUCAAUGGGCGCAAGCCUGAACCAGCCAUGCCGCGUGCAGGAAGACGGCCCUACGGGUUGUAAACUGCUUUUAUACUGGAAUAAACCUACUUACGUGUAAGUAGCUGAAUGUACAGUAAGAAUAAGGAUCGGCUAACUCCGUGCCAGCAGCCGCGGUAACAC